AGUCCUAACCACCGGACCACCAGGGAAUUCCCCAAAUGUUCAGGAUAUUAACAUCAAUUAGAAAAAGUAAUCUUGUGAGUCACUAGGGGACCAGAAAAGUUGAAUCUUCUAUAUACAAAAAUGGCUUGAUGUGAGGAAACAGCUCAGACUCUGCAGCCUGAUGAAAUUCUUUAAAAUAUCCCAAAAUAUGAUAUUUGGCACAAGAAAGAAAAAAGAAUUAGUUUUGUUCACUUCCUCUAAAACAUCAAAAAUCAAGGCACUGCACAAGAUUUCCAGCUGGUAUCCCCCUAGGCCCUAGAGCACGUGGGGUAAGAAGAGGGCGUGGCCAAUAAGGAAUGAGGGAGAGAGAUCGGAUAUCACCAGAGCCCUGGGGCCUGCAGGACAGUCUGCUUUGACCAUAAGCUCCAUAAAGGUGAGGGCCAGGUCUGGCUGGUUGAUCCUUAAUUCCUCAAUGCCUGGCAUGGUGCCCUGUGGGCAAGCAGCUCCUGUCCAGCAGCCCCUCUCCCAGGAUGCUGGCUUUCACCUGGAUGCCGCCACCACCACCUCUUCCCCUGUCUCUGCAGGGCACGUGGGCGAGAGGCUUCCCUUUAUGGGCAGCUGCUGGGGGCACAACAUCUCUUACUACUUCUGGGAAGCUACCCAAACCUCUGUAAAUAGUCACUUCACUAAAAAGCCUUUUAAACGCCGCAGCUGAGUGCACUCUCUGUUUCCUGCCUGGACUCUGACAGGUCCUUAAAGGGAAGAAAAUAGGAAAAGGAUCAACAGGAGCCUGGAAGGAUAAGGGGGCUUCUCAGAAGUACUUAUACAGCCCCAGGAGGAACAAUUCUUGUUAUUCCCUGUACUCACCCACUGAGGGGGAAAAGGACUUAGAAAGGACUGCGUGAGGCCCACUACAUGAUGGCCGGCCUGAGUCACACCAGCUAUCCCGUGGUUAGUGGCUCUCUCCUCUCUAUGCCCCUCAGUGUUUGGUUCUAUCUAGCUAGGAAUCCUUGAUAAGGUGGGAUUUUACUACUCUAUAGGCCUGUCCCCCACACUGGACUGAAAACUCCUCAAAGGCCAAGAUUUGGGUUUUGGCCAUUUCUGGGUCCUGCCCAGUUUCUCACAGGCUGCCAGGCACAGAGGAAGCCCUUGAAUGGAUUCACAUGAAGAAGGAAUGAAGGUUUCUCCCACAAAAGAACCUGUAGGCCCACCCUUCUAAAAUCCCCGCCUUCCAAGGUGAUGAAACCACCUCAGAAGCCCGUGGCCAGGCCCUGAAGGCUAAAGAGUAUUUGACACUGAUGAUGCCGGAAGGUGACUAAGCUGCUGAGUCAAGAAAACCAACUUCCUCUUCCAAGACGGUUGCCUGAUCUACCCUCAAGCUGUUUCACCCAGACACAUCCUGGCCUCAUGCUUGCCUGACACCUUUGCCUGCUUCUUCAAGGGCCUCCAGUUUCGCUGAAACAGCUUUCUCAUUCUUGUACCCUUUUGUUCUGUUGCUGUCUCAGAUGUUAUCCAAAUGAUCCAUUCUAACCCCUUCACACCUUGAUCAGGAGACCCUCACCACACAAAGCCAACAGUGUGGACCACAUCCUCCCAUCCCCAAACCAGGAUACAGUCAUUUGCAACCAGGGGUGUCCCAGGAAACCUGGGAUAAAUACUCAUCAUAUCUAUAGAACCGACACUAAACCUUGAUCCAUUUUUAACGUAAAUGGUCUUAAUAACCACAAACAUAUGGGGGAGAAGAACAGUAAACAAAGCUUAACUGUUUUGUUGACAAAUUGACUGUAGUCUUCAUAGGCAUGGUGACCAUAUUCUGUAAUUUUCUAACGCAGUGGUUUUUUUUUAAAUCUUAAUUUUAUUGGUGUAUGGUUGAUUUACAGUGUUGUGUUGGUUUCAGGUGUACAGCAAAGUGAUUCAGUU